GAUGAACGCUGGCGGCGUGCCUAAUACAUGCAAGUCGAGCGAACAGACGAGGAGCUUGCUCCUCUGACGUUAGCGGCGGACGGGUGAGUAACACGUGGAUAACCUACCUAUAAGACUGGGAUAACUUCGGGAAACCGGAGCUAAUACCGGAUAAUAUAUUGAACCGCAUGGUUCAAUAGUGAAAGACGGUUUUGCUGUCACUUAUAGAUGGAUCCGCGCCGCAUUAGCUAGUUGGUAAGGUAACGGCUUACCAAGGCAACGAUGCGUAGCCGACCUGAGAGGGUGAUCGGCCACACUGGAACUGAGACACGGUCCAGACUCCUACGGGAGGCAGCAGUAGGGAAUCUUCCGCAAUGGGCGAAAGCUUGACGGAGCAACGCCGCGUGAGUGAUGAAGGUCUUCGGAUCGUAAAACUCUGUUAUUAGGGAAGAACAAAUGUGUAAGUAACUAUGCUCGUCUUGACGGUACCUAAUCAGAAAGCCACGGCUAACUACGUG
rnacentral:rRNA from 1 species